rnacentral:rRNA from 1 species
UACGGAGGGUGCGAGCGUUGUCCGGAAUCAUUGGGCGUAAAGGGUGCGUAGGUGGGUCUGUAAGUCAGUGGUGAAAUCUCCGAGCUUAACUCGGAAACUGCCAUUGAUACUAUAGAUCUUGAAUUAUCUGGAGGUGAGCGGAAUAUGUCAUGUAGCGGUGAAAUGCUUAGAUAUGACAUAGAACACCAAUUGCGAAGGCAGCUCACUACGGAUUGAUUGACACUGAGGCACGAAAGCGUGGGGAUCAAACAGG